rnacentral:tRNA from 1 species
GGAGAGAUGGCUGAGUUUGGCUGAAGGCGCUCGCCUGGAAAGCGAGUAGACGGGGUUAACUCGUCUCGAGGGUUCGAAUCCCUCUCUCUCCGCCA